GAUGGGAUUUCAGCUCCGGGGGCAGAGCGAGGUCAGCCCGGUGUAUUGCAUUUCUGCUUUUGUUUUGGGGUUAAAUUUAUUUAUAUCUUUUUUUUUUUUUUUAAGAGGACGUGCAUUAAAAGUCGGCUCCGAAAGGGACGGGAUCCCCAUUUCUCGGCGGCGGCCGCGCUCGCAUCGCUGCCUCUGUUCUCCCAGUUUACGGCUUUUUCCCAGUAAAACAGCCAAACUGGGACCAGGACGCUGUGCAUCCUCCGUCCUCCCUCAGCUUUUCUCUUUUUUUGGCUGAAAGAAGCAGCUCGGAAUCGGGAUGAAAUCCUCCUUCGCUUUCCUGCUCCUCGUGUCAGGUGGGUGAGGGGCGACGGAAACGGGGAGCUGAUUGCUCAGCAAUUAAUCUUGCUCAGCAAUUAAUCUUGC
rnacentral:lncRNA from 1 species